UUUAUUAGAGAGUUUGAUCCUGGCUCAGGAUUAAUGCUAGCGGCGUGCCUAACACAUGCAAGUCGAACGGUUCCGAUUGCCAUUUGAGAACAGUUGUUUUUUUACAGCUGUUUUAAUUUAGUAAUCGGGAUAGUGGCGAACGGGUGAGUAAUGCGUGGAUAACCUGCCUUCAAGAGGAAGAUAGCUUCGUGAAAACGGGGGUAAUAUUCCAUAAGACCCUCCCCUGCUGUCUUGCGACAGCAAGACGGGGGGGUAAAAGUCUCCCGAUUUAACAUCGUGGGACACUUGAAGAGGGGUUCACGUUCUAUUAGCUAGUUGGUACGGUAAUGGCGUACCAAGGCGAAGAUGGAUAGCCGGCUUGAGAGAGUGUACGGCCACACUGGGAUUGAGAUACGGCCCAGACUCCUACGGGAGGCAGCAGUGAGGAAUUUUCCGCAAUGCCCGAAAGGGUGACGGAGCGACGCCGCGUGGGUGAUGAAGGCCUUCGGGUUGUAAAACCCUGUUGUAAAGGACGAUAAUGACGGUACUUUAUGAGGAAGCAUCGGCUAACUCUGUGCCAGCAGCCGCGGUAAGACAGAGGAUGCAAGCAUUAUCCAGAAUUACUGGGUGUAAAAUGUGUGCAGGUGGUUUUAUAAGUCAAAUGUGAAAUCUAGAUGCUUAACAUCUAAAUUGCAUUUGAUACUGUUUAACUUGAGUUCUGGUGAGGAAAGUGGAAUUCCCGGUGGAGCGGUGAAAUGCGUUGAUAUCGGGAGGAACACCGAUGGCGAAGGCAACUUUCCAGCUUGAAACUGACACUGAAACACGAAAGCUAGGGGAGCAAACAGGAUUAGAUACCCUGGUAGUCCUAGCCGUAAACGAUGGAUACUGGGUGUAGGCUCUUUAUGGGUCUGUGCCGAAGCUAACGCGUUAAGUAUCCUACCUGGGGAGUACAGUCGCAAGACCGAAACUCAAAGGAAUUGACGGGGGCUCGCACAAGCGGUGGAACAC
rnacentral:rRNA from 1 species